AGUGAACGCUAGCGGUGCGCCUAACACAUGCAAGUCGAGCGCCCUGCACCCAUUUCAUCAACUGUCAUACGUAUAGCAAUAUACGGGUAUGGAUCACGUGAAAUAGGUGUAGGGAGCGGCGAACGGCUGAGUAACACGUUGGAACCUACCCCAGACUCAGGGAUAAUUCACCGAAAGGUGGACUAAUACCGGAUAGUCUCGUAAGAGUAAAGCUUUUGCGGUCUGGGAGGGGCCUGCGGCCUAUCAGUUAGUUGGUAAGGUAAAAGCUUACCAAGACUAUGACGGGUAACUGGUUUGAGAGGAUGACCAGUCAGAAUGGGACUGAGACACGGCCCAU
rnacentral:rRNA from 1 species